rnacentral:lncRNA from 1 species
AACAGGUUUGGCUACUUUAGUCGUUUCUGGGAGCACUCAUUUUCUCUAGCAUGUAAAGAGAUUCUGGAGAAUUGCAUUGCGGGUGUCCCAAUACUUAAUGUACCUGGCUCCAUUCUGGUAUGCAACUUCCAUUUUUCACCAUUCAUUCAAUUUCAAAUGGAAAAAACAAAAAACCUGUUGAUAGUAUAAGGUUUGUUUCGUGUGCUUUUAACCUAGAAACAACAACAACAGAAAGUCCGAUGCCACUCAUCAAACUCCACCCGCAUGUGUUUCAUAUAAAAAUCUUGCCAGCAGCAUUCAUACAGAUACUGAGCGUGAACACUUGUGAUUUCAUCGCAGAGCAUCAUUCACCUCACAAUGACUAGCCAUGGUAGGAAAUAUUUUCUAUUGUUGAUGCUUUACUGUCCGAUUCCAUACAAAAAAAUAAAAAAAACCUUGUUAUAAAUUCUCUGAUAGGUACUAAAAGAAAGCGUAGUGAUGAACCGUCCGGCUCAAGUGCAAAGCGACCUGACAACAGUUCACAGGAACUUAGAAGUAAGUAAUCUUAGAAGGCAAGUAUUUAUUUUUUUCUCUAAAAUAGCACUGUUAUUUAAUUGUAUAUUCAAAAUCUAAAAUACAAUGACAACAACAAAACAGCAUAGUAAUGGAUGUUAGUGUGGACCAGAUCUUCUCUUUUAGAAAGUUUCAAAUACGCUAGAAUGUUAUUGAUAUUCUUGGCGAUCAAGAAAGCCAUAUUGUAUUUACACAUUCAUGCAUAUCACUUUUGAACUAUGACAAUGUUUUGCACUUGUUAUAUAUGUCAUUAAAUAUGCAUCAAUGCCUGAAGCAAUGUUGUAAUUUAGACCUAAAAAUGAUUAGGUAUUCAUUUCACAGUUGGAGUGGUCAACUUAUUUUGGAGUAAAAAGAAAAAAAGACAGCACUGUAAUAAUGCACUAUACAUGCAUUGAUAGAUAAUUUAACCUUAAACAUAUAAAAAUGAAUGCAAUAAUAAGGUAGCAAUGCUCCUGCAA